UUGAGAAUAUAGUAAAACUCUCAGCAUUUGAACGUAUUUUUUAAUCCAAAUCUAUUUUUUAAAAUUAAAUUUCUAUAGUUUUAUGUAGUGUUGUAAAUCUGGCUACAUUUUAAUCAAUGUUAGGUUUUAUCUUUUAAAUUAUAUUAAAAUAUACGGAAUCUGUAGAUAUUUGCAUCCUCAAAAAAGAAAGCAUCAUCAACGCUCAGAGAUGAAAGUGAAAAUAUGUAGGUAAUGUAUUCUUUAGUUCAUAAUAAAUCAUUGACAUUCAUUGUGUGUUACACGAUGCAGUUUUGUGUACACUGGUAGAGUUAAACUGGACAGCUGUUGCUACUUGGCGAUGGGUUGCCAAUGAUGAUAACUGUGGGAUAUGCCGUAUGCCAUUUGAUGGAUGUUGUCCUGACUGCAAGUUACCUGGGGAUGAUUGCCCCCUGGUGUGGGGACAAUGCUCGCAU